rnacentral:lncRNA from 10 species
GUUUGACUUCCUCUUUUCCAACUUGCCCUUUAUUUCUUUUUUUGUCUGGUUGCUCUGACUAGGACUUCCAGUGCUAUGUUGAAUAGAAGUGUUGCAUGUAGACAUCCUUGUCUUUUUCCAGUUCUCAGGGGGAAUGCUUUCAACUUUUCCCCAUUUAGUAUGAUCUUGGCUGUGGGUUUGUUACAGAUGCCUUUUAUUACUUUGAGCUACCCAGGGACAUUGCCCACAGCAGCCAGGUUGCUUGGAAAAGGAUACCAAACAUUGAAGACCUUCUGGGUGUGCCCCUUACUUCGAAAGGUGGAAUGAUUUAUCAGUAGACACUGUGACAAAAAUAAUCUUAACAAUUGGACUGUCUAGCUUUGUAGCAGCUACUCAUACCUCAGUCUUCUAAUAGCCCAUUUAUAAGGCAUUUUAAAAUAUAGCUUCUGAUAAAAUCAUUGGUCCAAUCUAUUCAUUAUAAUUAUAUUUUUAUAACUAGAGUCUUCAUGCAUUCUAAUAAAAUGCUGCAUAACACUGACAUCAUGUCUUAAGACAUAUAAUAUAAAACUUCCCAACUGCUUAUAGCUAUCUGUUAGAAAAAAGGGAGGGAAGGCUUCCUUUAUGAAUUUAAAUCUUCUUAAGAAGUCUGGUAGGAUUACUGUAAAAGUGAUAUCUAGGUUCCAGUUUAGACAGUAAAAUCACACAAAGCAAAGGUGGCCAUACUCACUCAUUGGGAGUGCCCUUCUGGCCACAAAAGUGGCCCUGGCUGUCUGUAGGAUAGGCUGCUCUUCUGGGGUCCCCAUGUACCCAGGCUGCAGGAACAAGAAAGGACAAAUAUGCUAUCAGCAAAAGCCAGCUAAAGGCAGUUUGAUUUGAGAUAUUAGAAUGCACCACUGCAACACACUAACCUCUCCCCUCAGUCACAGAAGAUUAUUGAUUUUCUUCAAAGAGUAAUUUCUUAAUGAAAAGUAAAAUAAAAUAUGGAUGAACCAGUCAGAAAGCACAUUUCUCUUAUUCUCUCAGGAUUCAGCUGGGUUGUAGCCAAAACAUGAGGUAAUGCACUUAGAAAAUGACAUUUAUUAAAAUGUGAAUUAGAGGGCACAUUAUAAAAGCUCAGUUGGCUAGAAGUCACUUUUUCUAGGGUUCAAAACUAAAUGACUUCAUAGCAGACCUAAUACAUUUACAGUAAAUAAUAUGAUGUAAUACUUUUGGGUUAUGCAUAGGUGAAAACCAUUAAAAAAUUCAAAGGGAUGAAACUAUAAUGCCCAAUUCAAAUUUACUAGUUCUUUAUGAUUUCAUGUGACAUUAUAAAGGCAAACAAUAGCAACUGCAGAGGCAAUAUGUAAUAAAGACUUACCCUAAGUUCUGUCUGAUAAUCUCAGAGCUUAAUAGAAGUAUCAAGUGAUCUCAAACUUCAUGAAAACUAAGGACUUGAUUUUCUAUGAAGACAAUGGGCUCAAACACAUUACCCUUAUUUUUUAAGAAUUAUAAACUUAACUUGAUAGCUAGACCAUAGGACCACAGAGAGUAACGUAUAUUAGGUCAAUUAGGAAAUGCUUUCUAAUUUUAGCUGAAUAUUUCUAACUUCUCCAAUUUGACUAAUACAGUUCCUAAAAAUCUGGGAAAUGUGCUUGGGUCAUCUAAUGCUUGCCUCUGAAUAUGGAAACAUAUCUCUUUGUCCUUUGCUUCCUUUAACAUUUGCCCAGCUAUCUCCCUCCCCACAUUUAUUGGAUUUGACAUUUCAUGUUAUAAUUCAAUCACUCUUAUGUAUAUGGCCUGUGUGACUUGGGAAGAUAAAAAAAUCAAUUCUGUAUGAGAAUUUCAAUAUGGAAGAAAAUUUUUUCUCAAUAUUUUUUCUCAAUCUAAGCCUGUCUUUUUAGUAUCUAGCACUCACAAAAGUCCCCUUUGUCUAAUUCUUUCUCCAAUGUCAUAGAGGCCAAAUUGGUUUCAUCUUCUAAUACCUUCUUAUUAAAUCUGACUCAUUCGGGUAGCUCUCAGCUGCCGUAUCUUCCCGUCUCUAUUUCCCAGAAUAAAAAAGUGGACUACAAAUAAGGCAUUUAAAUAACAAAGUGUUCAAUGUGCGAUGUCUCCAGACCCCGUAUCAUUACAUUCUGCUUCUAUACCUUAGUUUGUCAUGUUUUGGCUAAAUCUAAGAAAGAGCUUUAUUUUACCUAUUUUUCUGUAAUGUUUUUAAAGCUUUAUUCUAAAAUGCCUUAUUCUUUUUUUUGUAUACAAUUAUUAAUUCAGAAAUGAGCACCCGAAGCAUUUAGAUUGUUAGAUUUUCCCUGAGUGAGUCACUUAAUUAUUUUGAGUCCUGACUUUCUAAUUUGUUACUACAAAAUGAGUAUAAUAAUACCUAAUCCCACAAGAAUGUUGAGAAUAUAAAAGAAGAUAAUGAAAAUAGAGUGACUAACAUGGUGCUUGGCAUACAAUAUGGACUCAGUAAUCUUAGUUCUUGUCUUAUUUGGGUUUCCCCAAAAGCAAAAUCUAAGACAAGAGCUUUGAUGCAGGUGGUUUAUCUGGGAGGUGAUUCCAGGAAGCUUAAAUAGGUAUAAGGGAGAUGAGACGGAAGGGAGCAAAGCCAAUCAAGUGCAUGUUAAUGAGUGGAAUACUGUUGCGGGCAGCUGGGGCUCCAUCCCUCUGGGGAACUUCUGCAGAGCCGUGUGGAACAUGUCUGUCAGUAGGAAUUGUAAAACUGCCCACCACAGCUGCAAAACAACUCAGGUGGGUCAAGGGGAAGCAGGGUCAGGUAUCCGCAGCAUCUGCUAUUGUUUUCUUUCCCUCUUUCAUCAUCAAUUAAUUAAGUAAAGGAUUUACUAAAUGAUCAUGAUGUGUCCCAUACUAGAAGUUAUACCAAUGUGAAUUUAUGUUAGAGUUCUCAAGAAAUACACGAAAAGGGGAGAAUAAGGUUUGUAGAAGGUUUAGAGAACAGGUGAGACUUGAGAAAGACUUUAAAAAAUAAUUAGGAUUUGGACAUGUGGCUGGAAGUAGGGAAGGAUUUAUAGAUUGAGGAAAUAGUAUAAUAAUAAGAUCUUUCAUUUAUUAAUUGCUCACAAUGUGACAGCUGUUGUGCUAACUUGAUUACACCCAUUGUCUCAGCUGAGUCUUAUAGCAUGCCUAAAAGGUAGGUAUUACUUUCACCUGAAUGGUAUAGAUAGCUGCAGCUCAGAGUUUAAUUUAUCACUCAAAAUCACACAGCUUUAAGUGAGAUAGACAAGGUAUGAACUCAGGUGUGUUGCUUGCUUUCUAUUGCCUGUGGUUUUAACCACCAAACUAGAAAGGCGAUAAUGCUUUCUGCAAAAGGAUAAAGGAGGAAUGAGCUUGUUAACAGGGGGAAAACAAGGACAUCAGCUAAAUAAAGAUCAGCAAAAUGUUCAUAAUGUAGGAAAAGAGAUGACAGGCAAUUUUGGAGCUUUUGCCAUUUGGAGAGAAAAGCUUCUACUUGUGGCAGGGGGAGAAGGAGCAUAUCUGAUUGGGGGGGAUCUGAGUGUCUGGGGAUAAAGGAGAGAGAGAUGAAGAUGGAAGUGUCAAGAGAAGAAUACUUCUUCUUGACUUUCUGGUUUUGAACUGUGGCAGGUGGUUGUGUUUACUGAGCUGCUGCUACACCUCUCCACACAGCCUCUGGCACAGAAGUUGUGCUGCAGAUGGUCUGUGUUUGAGCUGAAACAUAAAGACUUUGAGCUGAAAGCUACAAAAAAGAGGAAAAAAAGGAGAUGGGCAGCAGCCAUCAUUUUGUCCCUAUUAAUAAAUUAAGGAGCUUCUGACAUUUUACUCCCUUUCUUGGAAUUUUUCUAUUCAUGGAACAUCCAAAACUAUGCUGUCCAAUAUGGUAGCCACUACCCAUGUGUCUAUUCAGCACUUGAAAUGGCUUCUCCAAAUUGGGACAUACUGUAAGUGCAAAAUACACAUCAUAUUUUAAAG